rnacentral:rRNA from 1 species
GAUGAACGCUGGCGGCGUGCCUAAUACAUGCAAGUAGAACGCUGAAGGAAGGAGCUUGCUCUUUCCGGAUGAGUUGCGAACGGGUGAGUAACGCGUAGGUAACCUGCCUGGUAGCGGGGGAUAACUAUUGGAAACGAUAGCUAAUACCGCAUAACAGUAGAUGUUGCAUGAUAUCUACUUAAAAGGUGCAAUUGCACCACUACCAGCUGGACCUGCGUUGUAUUAGCUAGUUGGUGAGGUAACGGCUCACCAAGGCGACGAUACAUAGCCGACCUGAGAGGGUGAUCGGCCACACUGGGACUGAGACACGGCCCAGACUCCUACGGGAGGCAGCAGUAGGGAAUCUUCGGCAAUGGACGGAAGUCUGACCGAGCAACGCCGCGUGAGUGAAGAAGGUUUUCGGAUCGUAAAGCUCUGUUGUAAGAGAAGAACGAGUGUGAGAGUGGAAAGUUCACACUGUGACGGUAUCUGACCAGAAAGGGACGGCUAACUACGUG